AAAAAAUAAAACUCUCCUAGACACAUUUCAUAGGGGCAAAAUCUAAAAGAUUUCGCUAGACCUGCCCAGGAUAAUAGAGCCUUUCUUCUUAGAACCUUCCUGAGAAGAUAGAAGAUCUUUGGAUAGAGGAUCCUGUUCAAAGGAAAGUCCCUCAGAAUAGCUAGAUUGGUGUUUGAAUGUUGUGUAAUUAGAAAAUCUUGUACCCCUGGACUUCAUCUCCCAGCA
rnacentral:lncRNA from 1 species